rnacentral:misc_RNA from 1 species
CCUUCAAAAUCAAAAUAGUAUAAAAUCACAGAUGAGUGAAUACAGAGUUACAAACAGAACUGAAGCAGCAACAGACAAAGUGUUCAACACUUCUUAAACAGACAUUACAAGCCAAACUGAAAUGUAGAGGCAGAUUGUGUGUUCUCAUUUGAGGAGGGUCUUCACUAUGGACUUGACAUUCAGCUUCUUCAAGUCUGUGUAAGACUGACCACAUCCCACAAACAUGACCGGGGCUCCAGAUAUGUAAACCAUGGACAACGCUGCUCCCACCUUAUCAUCAAUGGUGUCAAACUUGGUAAGGAGAAUUCCAUCAAUCAAUCUUGGAUUUGGUGAGGGUGAAAGGUCACCUAGUUUCUGGUUGAACUUUGAUAACUGAUCAACAGCGUCAUUUCCAACAAGUGCCUCACCAACAAAAAGGAUCAGAUCUGGACUGUUCACAUAUAUAAGCUUCGAAAGUGCUCGCAUCAGUGGUUCAUUAUCCUGCAUUCGACCAGCUGUAUCAACAAGAACGACAUCUGAACCAUUUCUAUUAGCCUCCUGGAUUGCUUCCUUGGCAACAAUAGC